UAACAUGUUGAACCGCAUGGUUCUACAGUGAAAGACGGUCUUGCUGUCACUUAUAGAUGGACCCGCGCCGUAUUAGCUAGUUGGUGGGGUAACGGCCUACCAAGGCGACGAUACGUAGCCGACCUGAGAGGGUGAUCGGCCACACUGGAACUGAGACACGGUCCAGACUCCUACGGGAGGCAGCAGUAGGGAAUCUUCCGCAAUGGGCGAAAGCCUGACGGAGCAACGCCGCGUGAGUGAUGAAGGUCUUCGGAUCGUAAAGCUCUGUUGUUAGGGAAGAACAAAUGUGUAAGUAACUGUGCACAUCUUGACGGUACCUAACCAGAAAGCCACGGCUAACUACGUGCCAGCAGCCGCGGUAAUACGUAGGUGGCAAGCGUUAUCCGGAAUUAUUGGGCGUAAAGCGCGCGUAGGCGGUUUUUUAAGUCUGAUGUGAAAGCCCACGGCUCAACCGUGGAGGGUCAUUGGAAACUGGAAAACUUGAGUGCAGAAGAGGAAAGUGGAAUUCCAUGUGUAGCGGUGAAAUGCGCAGAGAUAUGGAGGAACACCAGUGGCGAAAGCGGCUUUCUGGUCUGCAACUGACGCUCAUGUGCGAAAGCGUGGGGAUCAAACAGGAUUAGAUACCCUGGUAGUCCACGCCGUAAACGAUGAGUGCUAAGUGUUAAGGGGGUUUCCCCCCCUUAAUGCUGCAGCUAACGCAUUAAACACUCCCCCCGGGGAGUACGGUCGCAAGACUGAAACUCAAAGGAAUUGACGGGGACGCCCACAAGCAGUGGAGCAUGUGGUUUAUUUCUAAGCAACGCGCAGAACCUUACCAAAUCUUGACAUCCUUUGACCGCUCUAGAAAUAG
rnacentral:rRNA from 1 species